rnacentral:rRNA from 1 species
CCGGCACGGGUGAGUAACACGUAUGCAAUCCACCUGUAACAGGGGGAGUAACCCGGAGAAAUCCGGACUAAUACCCCAUAAUAUGGGCGCUCCGCAUGGAGAGCCCAUUAAAGAGAGCAAUUUUGGUUACAGACGAGCAUGCGCUCCAUUAGCCAGUUGGCGGGGUAACGGCCCACCAAAGCGACGAUGGAUAGGGGUUCUGAGAGGAAGGCCCCCCACAUUGGAACUGAGACACGGUCCAA